rnacentral:rRNA from 1 species
AACGAACGCUGGCGGCAGGCUUAACACAUGCAAGUCGAGCGCCCCGCAAGGGGAGCGGCAGACGGGUGAGUAACGCGUGGGAACCUACCCUUUUCUACGGAAUAACGCAUGGAAACGUGUGCUAAUACCGUAUACGCCCUACGGGGGAAAGAUUUAUCGGAGGAGGCAGGGCCCGCGUUGGAUUAGCUAGUUGGUGGGGUAAAGGCCUACCAAGGCGACGAUCCAUAGCUGGUCUGAGAGGAUGAUCAGCCACAUUGGGACUGAGACACGGCCCAAACUCCUACGGGAGGCAGCAGUGGGGAAUAUUGGACAAUGGGCGCAAGCCUGAUCCAGCCAUGCCGCGUGAGUGAUGAAGGCCCUAGGGUUGUAAAGCUCUUUCACCGGAGAAGAUAAUGACGGUAUCCGGAGAAGAAGCCCCGGCUAACUUCGUGCCAGCAGCCGCCGUAAUAC